CCUACGGGUGGCAGCAGUGGGGAAUAUUGCACAAUGGGGGAAACCCUGAUGCAGCGACGCCGCGUGAGUGAAGAAGUAAUUCGUUACGUAAAGCUCUAUCGGCAGGGAAGAAACACUGACCUUACGGUCAGCAGACGGUACCUGAGUAAGAAGCCCCGGCUAACUACGUGCCAGCAGCCGCGGUAAUACGUAGGGGGCAAGCGUUAUCCGGAUUUACUGGGUGUAAAGGGAGCGUAGACGGUGCGCCAAGUCUGGAGUGAAAUGCCGCAGCUGAACGGGGGAACUGCUUUGGAAACUGGCGAACUAGAGUGCGGGAGGGGUAAGCGGAAUUCGUAGUGUAGCGGUGAAAUGCGUAGAUAUUAGGAGGAACACCGGUGGCGAAGGCGGCUUACUGGACCGUAACUGACGUUGAGGCUCGAAAGCGUGGGGAGCAAACAGGAGUAGAUACCCGAGUAGUC
rnacentral:rRNA from 1 species